rnacentral:rRNA from 1 species
GACGAACGCUGGCGGCGUGCUUAACACAUGCAAGUCGAACGGUUAGGCCCCUUCGGUGUUACACUAGUGGCGAACGGGUGAGUAACACGUGAGCAACCUGCCCUUUACUUUGUUAUACCAUCUGUAAACAGCUUCUAAUACCUUAUAUUACCUCUUCUCUCCUUGGUUUAGGUGGAAAGCUCCGGCGGUCAGGGAUGGGCUCGCGGCCUAUCAGCUUGUUGGUGAGGUAAUGGCUCACCAACGCUUCGACGGGUAGCCGGCCUGAGAGGGCGACCGGCCACCCUGGGACUGAGAUACGGCCCAGACUCCUACGGGAGGCAGCAGUGGGGAAUAUUGCACAAUGGGCGCAAGCCUGAUGCAGCAACGACGCGUGCGGGAUGACGGCCUUCGGGUUGUAAACCGCUUUCAGUAGGGACGAAGCUAACGAGACGGUACCUACAGAAGAAGGACCGGCUAACUAUGU